UAAUGGCCUACCAAGGCGGCGACGGGUAGCCGGCCUGAGAGGGUGAUCGGCCCAUUGGGACUGAGAUACGGCCCAGACUCCUACGGGAGGCAGCAGUGGGGAAUAUUGCACAAUGGGCGGAAGCCUGAUGCAGCGACGCCGCGUGAGGGAUGACGGCCUUCGGGUUGUAAACCUCUUUCAGCAGGGACGAAGCGUAAGUGACGGUACCUGCAGAAGAAGCACCGGCUAACUACGUGCCAGCAGCCGCGGUAAUACGUAGGGUGCGAGCGUUGUCCGGAAUUACUGGGCGUAAAGAGUUCGUAGGCGGUCUGUCGCGUCGUUUGUGAAAACCCGGGGCUCAACUUCGGGCUUGCAGGCGAUACGGGCAGACUUGAGUGUUUCAGGGGAGACUGGAAUUCCUGGUGUAGCGGUGAAAUGCGCAGAUAUCAGGAGGAACACCGGUGGCGAAGGCGGGUCUCUGGGCAGCAACUGACGCUGAGGAGCGAAAGCGUGGGGAGCGAACAGGAUUAGAUACCCUGGUAGUCCAUGCUGUAAACGGUGGGCGCUAGGUG
rnacentral:rRNA from 1 species